CUCACCCCUUUUUUCAUGUUUGGGGGGUGUCUGUUUCCCUUCUCUACACCGAGUUGACCGAAAACGGGCUCUCCCUUCUGUGGCCUCUGCUCUGCCCCAGGAGGACAGCCUGGAGGAGGAGAGAAUGGCUUCUGCCCUGACAGCCAGGCCUGGGAAGUUCUCCCUUCUGUGGCCUCUGCUCUGCCGCAGGAGG
rnacentral:lncRNA from 1 species